AGAGCGAACGGUGGAUGCCUUGGCUAGUAGAGGCGAUGAAAGACGUGCCAGGCUGCGAUAAGUCUCGGGGAGCCGUCAAGGGGCUUUGAUCCGGGAAUUUCUGAAUGGGGCAACCCAAUACAUAGCGAUAUGUGUUACCAUUAAUGGAGCCAACGCGGGGAACUGAAACAUCUAAGUACCCGGAGGAAAAGAAAUCAAUAGAGAUUACGCUAGUAGCGGCGAGCGAACGCGUAAGAGGGCAAACCACUAGUUUACUAGUGGGGUUGUAGGACCGCAACAUAGACUAGGAUCUGAUAAUAGAACAAUCUGGAAAGGUUAGGCAUAGAGGGUGAUACUCCCGUAUAUGAAAUCACAUCCUUACUUAGCGGUAUCCUGAGUAGGACGGGACACGUGAAAUCCUGUCUGAAGCCGGGUCGACCACGAUCCAACCCUAAAUACUACUACUAGACCGAUAGUGCACAAGUACCGUGAGGGAAAGGUGAAAAGAACGGCGGUGAGCCGAGUGAAAUAGAACCUGAAACCGUUUGCUUACAAUCAUUCAGAGCACUAUGUGGGUCUGUUUGAAUAUUAAGGACGGCUUGUCUUUUGGCGAUAAAUUAAUGAGUUCGAUUUUUUCUCAAUCGAUAGGCUAAAAGCCUUAUCUCAAUCGAAAAAAUCUUCACAACAUUAAUUUCUCAUCCAAAAUACCGCGCCUUUAGGCGGGUAUAUCUUGUUUUUACAAUUUUUUUAUAAAUCAUCGGAUUAAAUUUGAAAUUUUAAAAGUAAAAAGAAGUAAAACUUCUAAAAUCAAAAUUUCAAACCAUAGAUCAAAUUUAAAUAGAUCAAAUUUAAAAUUUAAAUCAAACAAGAUAAGACGAUCCAAGAUUAGUAUUGAAACAGAUCCACAGUGUGAUGGACUGCCUUUUGCAUAAUGAGCCUGCGAGUUGUGGUGUCUGGCGAGGUUAAGGAAACCCGGAGCCGUAGCGAAAGCGAGUCUUAAUAGGGCGAUUAGUCAGAUGCUGCAGACCCGAAACGAUGUGAUCUAUCCAUGAGCAGGUUGAAGCCGGUGUAAGAGCCGGUGGAGGACCCAACCCGCUGGCGUUGAAAAGCCUUGGGAUGACUUGUGGAUAGGGGUGAAAGGUCAAUCAAACAUCGUGAUAGCUGGUUCUCUCCGAAAUAUAUUUAGGUAUAGCGUCAUGUAGUAACACUGGGGGGUAGAGCACUGAAUGGGCUAGGGCAUACACCAAUGUACCAAACCCUAUCAAACUCCGAAUACUUAUAGCGUAACCACGGCAGUCAGGCGGCGAGUGAUAAAAUCCGUCGUCGAGAGGGGAACAACCCAGACUAACAGCUAAGGUCCCUAAAUCUCAUUUAAGUGGAAAACGAUGUGGAGUUACUGAAACAACCAGGAGGUUGGCUUAGAAGCAGCCAUCCUUUAAAGAAAGCGUAAUAGCUCACUGGUCUAGUGAUUCUGCGCGGAAAAUAUAACGGGGCUAAAAUGAGUACCGAAGCUUUAGACUUAGUUUUACUAAGUGGUAGGAGAGCGUUGCAUUCAGCGUCGAAGGUGUACCGGUAAGGAGCGCUGGAGCGAAUGCAAGUGAGCAUGCAGGCAUGAGUAGCGAUAAUUGGGGUGAGAAUCCCCAACGCCGUAAACCCAAGGUUUCCUACGCGAUGCUCGUCAUCGUAGGGUUAGCCGGGUCCUAAGCAAAGUCCGAAAGGGGUAUGCGAUGGAAAAUUGGUUAAUAUUCCAAUGCCAACUAUAAUGUGCGAUGGAAGGACGCUUAGAGUUAAGCAAGCUAGCGGAUGGUAGUGCUAGUCGAAAGGUGUAGGUUAAGAUCCAGGCAAAUCCGGAUCUUUUUAAGCCGAGACCCCACAGGCGUUUGAAGUUCUUCGGAAUGGAUAGCGAAUUGCUGAUACUGUCGAGCCAAGAAAAGUUUCUAAGUUUAGUUAUAGUUGCCCGUACCGUAAACCGACACAGGUGGGUGGGAUGAGUAUUCUAAGGCGCGUGGAAGAACUCUCUUCAAGGAACUCUGCAAAAUAGCACCGUAUCUUCGGUAUAAGGUGUGCCUAACUUUGUGAAGGAUUUACUCCGUAAGCAUUGAAGGUUACAACAAAGAGUCCCUCCCGACUGUUUACCAAAAACACAGCACUCUGCUAACUCGUAAGAGGAUGUAUAGGGUGUGACGCCUGCCCGGUGCUCGAAGGUUAAUUGAUGACGUUAGCUCUGCGAAGCGUUUGAUCGAAGCCCGAGUAAACGGCGGCCGUAACUAUAACGGUCCUAAGGUAGCGAAAUUCCUUGUCGAUUAAAUAUCGACCUGCAUGAAUGGCGUAACGAGAUGGGAGCUGUCUCGAAGAGGGAUCCAGUGAAAUUGUAGUGGAGGUGAAAAUUCCUCCUACCCGCGGCAAGACGGAAAGACCCCGUGGACCUUUACUACAGCUUGACACUGCUAUUGGGAUAAAAAUGUGCAGGAUAGGUGGGAGGCUUUGAUCCAUAGACGCCAGUUUAUGGUGAGCCGUUGUUGAGAUACCACUCUUUUUUAUUCUGAUAGCUAACUAGCUUGAGUUAUCCUCAAGUAGGACAAUGUCUGGUGGGUAGUUUGACUGGGGCGGUCGCCUCCCAAAAUGUAACGGAGGCUUACAAAGGUUGGCUCAGAACGGUUGGAAAUCGUUCGCAGAGUAUAAAGGCAAAAGCCAGCUUAACUGCGAGACAUACACGUCAAGCAGGGACGAAAGUCGGUCUUAGUGAUCCGGUGGUUCUGUGUGGAAGGGCCAUCGCUCAAAGGAUAAAAGGUACCCCGGGGAUAACAGGCUGAUCUCCCCCAAGAGCUCACAUCGACGGGGAGGUUUGGCACCUCGAUGUCGGCUCAUCGCAUCCUGGGGCUGGAGCAGGUCCCAA
rnacentral:rRNA from 1 species